UACGGGGGGGGCAAGCGUUGUUCGGAAUUACUGGGCGUAAAGGGCUCGUAGGUGGCCAACUAAGUCAGACGUGAAAUCCCUCGGCUUAACCGGGGAACUGCGUCUGAUACUGGAUGGCUUGAGUUCGGGAGAGGGAUGCGGAAUUCCAGGUGUAGCGGUGAAAUGCGUAGAUAUCUGGAGGAACACCGGUGGCGAAGGCGGCAUCCUGGACCGGCAUUGACGCUGAGGCGCGAAAGCCAGGGGAGCAAACAGG
rnacentral:rRNA from 1 species